GGAAAGUUGGUCAAGUGGUAAGACACUUGGGGAAGCAGAAUAAUCGGAGACAUAGGUUCGAUUCUUAUACUCCCCA
rnacentral:tRNA from 1 species